GUAAAAUGGGAAUAACCUCAACAAGUCUUUGAAUCGCUCCCAAGCCUUAAAGAGCAACUCACCCUCUUCUUGCCUAAAAUUAGAAAUUCAGCUUCUUAUUUA